rnacentral:rRNA from 1 species
UGGAGGUUAAGGUCUUCGGAUUGUAAACUCCUGUCAUGCGAGAACAAAGCCCUCACGGGUGUGAUAGUAUCGCAAGAGGAAGAGACGGCUAACUCUGUGCCAGCAGCCGCGGUAAUACAGAGGUCUCAAGCGUUGUUCGGAAUCACUGGGCGUAAAGGGUGCGCAGGCUGCGCGGGCAGUCAAUUGUGGAAUUCAAGGGCUCAACCCUUGGGCUGCACUUGAUACUUCCGCGCUAGAGCCCUGGAGAGGAGUCUGGAAUUCUCGGUGUAGCAGUGAAAUGCGUAGAUAUCGAGAGGAACGCCAACGGCGAAAGCAAGACUCUGGACAGGUGCUGACGCUCAUGCACGAAGGCCAGGGGAGCAAACGGGAUUAGAUACCCCGGUAGUCCUGGCAGUAAACAGUGCACGUUUGGUGUGGGGGGGUCACCCUCUCCGUGCCGAAGCUAACGCGAUAAACGUGCCGCCUGGGUAGUACGGUCGCAAGAUUA